CUGCGGAGGGAUCAUUACACAAAUAUGAAGGCGGGCUGGAACCUCUCGGGGUUACAGCCUUGCUGAAUUAUUCACCCUUGUCUUUUGCGUACUUCUUGUUUCCUUGGUGGGUUCGCCCACCACUAGGACAAACAUAAACCUUUUGUAAUUGCAAUCAGCGUCAGUAACAAAUUAAUAAUUACAACUUUCAACAACGGAUCUCUUGGUUCUGGCAUCGAUGAAGAACGCAGCGAAAUGCGAUAAGUAGUGUGAAUUGCAGAAUUCAGUGAAUCAUCGAAUCUUUGAACGCACAUUGCGCCCUUUGGUAUUCCAAAGGGCAUGCCUGUUCGAGCGUCAUUUGUACCCUCAAGCUUUGCUUGGUGUUGGGCGUCUUGUCUCUAGCUUUGCUGGAGACUCGCCUUAAAGUAAUUGGCAGCCGGCCUACUGGUUUCGGAGCGCAGCACAAGUCGCACUCUCUAUCAGCAAAGGUCUAGCAUCCAUUAAGCCUUUUUUCAACUUUUGACCUCGGAUCAGGUAGGGAUACCCGCUGAACUUAAGCAUAUC
rnacentral:rRNA from 1 species